rnacentral:rRNA from 1 species
UACAGAGGGGGCAAGCGUUGUUCGGAAUUACUGGGCGUAAAGGGCGCGUAGGCGGCCUCUUAAGUCGAACGUGAAAUCCCCGGGCUCAACCCGGGAACUGCGUCCGAUACUGGGGGGCUUGAAUCCGGGAGAGGGAUGUGGAAUUCCAGGUGUAGCGGUGAAAUGCGUAGAUAUCUGGAGGAACACCGGUGGCGAAGGCGUCUAACUGGUCCAGAUCUGACGCUGAGGUGCGAAAGCGUGGGGAGCAAACAGG